rnacentral:rRNA from 1 species
CCCAGACUCCUACGGGAGGCAGCAGUGGGGAAUAUUGGGCAAUGGGCGCAAGCCUGACCCAGCAACGCCGCGUGAAGGAAGAAGGCUUUCGGGUUGUAAACUUCUUUUGUCAGGGACGAAGCAAGUGACGGUACCUGACGAAUAAGCCACGGCUAACUCCGUGCCAGCAGCCGCGGUAAUACGGAGGAUGCGAGCGUUAUCCGGAUUUAUUGGGUUUAAAGGGUGCGUAGGCGGACUGGAAAGUCAGCGGUAAAAUCGGGAGGCUCAACCUCUUUCCGCCGUUGAAACUGUCGGUCUUGAGUGGGCGAGAAGUAUGCGGAAUGCGUGGUGUAGCGGUGAAAUGCAUAGAUAUCACGCAGAACUCCGAUUGCGAAGGCAGCAUACCGGCGCCCAACUGACGCUGAAGCACGAAAGCGUGGGUAUCGAACAGGAUUAGAUACCCUGGUACA